rnacentral:lncRNA from 1 species
UAAUCUCCCAUCUCUCUCAUUACUUUCUCUCUCUAACUCGUACCCCAUAAAUAGGGCACCCUCUCCUCGUCCUAAGCACUAAGGACACAGCACCAAAAGCCAUGCCUCGUCUCUCAAUACUUGUCAUCACACUUGCUAUUCUCCUCUUAAACUCUUCAGGUAAAUAAAAUUAAAUUCUUUCUCUAUGCUUAUUACCAUUCCAUUUAUAUUCAUUUCUCUUACAUGAGGUUCUCCUCUUGACAUGUGUGCGGAAGCGCUAGUUUGGUAUUUGUAGAAUCAAAGGAAUUUUUUUUUGCUGUUAACAAAACAUUUAUUUUUAUCAAGACAUUGACUGUUUUCAUACCAACAAUAACUUUGUACUCUUAGUACCACGGAAAAUUUAUCAAACUGGGAAACACUUUAUUUUCUUUAGCACUUGAGAGCUAAUCUUGGGACUUUCUUUUCGUUUAUCUACUAUAUUCCUCUAAUGAACCUUGUAAAUAAGCAUCAUUAAAGAUAAAAAAGAAAUUGUCUCAAGAAAAAAAUGCCCUAAGCCAAUGAACCUUGUAAAUAAGCAUCAUUAAAGAUAAAAAAGAAAUUGUCUCAAGAAAAAAAUGCCCUAAGCCCAGAAACAAAAAAUAAAAAAUAAAAUAAAAUCAAUUAGAAGGUAUGAAAGUGUUAUUGAUAAUAUUUUGAUUUUGAAAAAAAAAAUUAAUUGUGCGACACACUUCUGGCCAUCUGAUUUCACAUCUGACAACUAGAAAUGAUUAUGACCUUACACCCAACAUAAACGGUUUUAAGUACGCAAACAAACUAAUGAAUACCCUUUUUCACAGGAAGCAUGGGAGGCAGGGGACUUGUCAUAGAUCAAGAAAAUGAGGUUGGUAUAUCAUUAGUAUGAGUAAAUAUCAUUAUACAUGUUAUUGAAUGUUGAGUAAAUAUCACUUUUACAAUGAAUCUAUUUUUAAUAUUUUCUACUACUUAAUAUUGGGGUUUGGAUGCUUUUUGUCUUUGUGAGUAAGGCAUGUGGAAAAAGAAAAAAAAACCUUCUUCCUUCUUUGUUUUAGUUAAAAUUGUUUCAAUUUCUUAAGCAGGUGGAGAUGAGAAAGCUUCUCUUGGAGACUACAAUGGAGUAUGACUAUGGAGGAGCCAACCCAAAGCAUGAGCCAAAAAAAGGCAAGCCUGGUGGUGGAAAAAUUCCUUAGAGCCAUUUUCACCAAGUCUUAGUGGUGGAUCCUUUUUUUUUUGUAGCCUUUUUUCUAGGGUUAGUAUUGGAGCUUAGGAGAUAUUCUUUUGGUUGUAAGGAUGAAGAAACAUAAUAUGUCCGGUAUUAUCCAAUAAUCUUUUAGGUAACUAAUAUAAAUGAGAGGAAGAACAUGGUGUUCUAUUCCAAAUAUUAUGUUGAGAUAUUAAAGGCAUUGAAAAAUAAAUGGUGAUUUUAUUACAAAAUAAACCAUGUUUUAAGUUCUCUACUUAGAGGACUACAAUAUUUAAACACGUGAACAACAUGAAAGAAAGGCAUUUGUAGAGGAACUCCUGUUAUUUAGAAAUGGGAAAAUUUUUUAUUCUUCCCCGCUA